AAAAAAAAAGUCACAGGGCUCCCUAUGGUGACAACCAGAAGAUCAGCUGCUUGGAUACACAGACAGGCGGCAGGCUACGGACAGCACCAUGACGGGCAGCGGCGUUUCGGUCAGCCCCAGAGCAGGAGGACAGGGCGGUCAGCAGGGCUGCCUGGAGUGUGGCCCUCCCCUGGCACAGGCAGAAGAGCCAUCUGACUGGGCAUGCUGACCGCUCUCUGUGUGGCAGAGGUUCUCAGGCAAGAGAGAUGCAGUACAGAACACCAUCCAACUACAGCUCCACAGACUUCUCAAGGGCUCAUGGAAAAUUCUUCAGGAUAGACCACAGAGAUCUACCCAAGUCUGCUAGACUCAGCAGACUCUUCUGCAUCGAGGAGUCUGCCCAGGCCAGGAGCCCAGGACCAGGGUUCCCUGCCUCUCAGACCAUCAGGAUGGCCCCAGGAGGGCGUCAUGCCAGCACUGAAUGGUCCUCCCAGAAAGGAAAUGCUUACCUGGCAUGAGCACAGCCUCUCUGCGCCUUUCACUCCCUACUGCCUCCUGGAGCUGAGUAAGCAGUGCAGGAAGCCUCCAACAAAAAAAGAAAUUGCGGGGACCGGGUGGCGGCACACCUGGUUUAGCGCUCACAUUAAAGUGCGCAAGAACCCAGGUUCAAGCCCCUGGUUCCCACCUGCAGGGGGAAAGCUUCACAAGU